GAUGGAAGCAAGGAUUGAAUGAUAAAUUCUUUCACAGCAUAAGUCUUAUAGUCUUCGGGAUAUGGAGAAUGAAACUUCAGUGAUUAUGCAUAGAAACUUGAGUUUGGACCUCAGGGGUUAACAAACUAGUGGAACACUAGAAUUUAUAGGAAGAAGGUCUGGGUUCGAAUCUCUGUCACAUUUCUGAAACACAGACUUUUCUGAUGUAGUGAUUGUAAGUUUGGCCACUAUGUCCGGGGUUUACCCAUCCAACCAAUGCUGAGGUUUUGAAAGAUAUAACUAUGGAAGAGGUUGCUAACCAGGCCCAGCAGUGAAUGAAGUUGCUGUCUAUGCUGCUGAUUCAUUCUUACCUGUUGCAGCAUAGCAGCAUUUUAUUGAUAUAGUGCAUAACUUCACUGGCUUUAAUUGGGGAUGGACCCUGAGUCUGUAGGUGAAAAAUAGAUGCAGAAGCUUGUAAAGAGUAGGCUGCUUUUCCAUGUUCUUUUAAGGGAACCCUUGACAAUUGAUUUGUUGGAUGGUUUCAUUCAUAUUUAGUUAUAGCUACCAUAAUGUGCUGCGGGCUUUCAUCUGUUGGUGGGCUGGCCUGCCCGCCAGCACGGCAGGCCAAGCUGGAGUCGCAUGACACAGCUCGUUGCCACUUCUAAUGAUACAUGUGAACUAGAAACUGAAGGCUGCAUUUGAAAGAUUAGGAGAGGGGUGGUGGGGGGAAUCUUGUCGGAAAGCAUUAGCAUCAUGGGAAUUCAACUCUAUUUAGGUUUAUCUUGCCCUUUAUCAAAGUGGUAUCUAGUCUGUGCUUUCAUUAUGAUUGAACCAGUAUUUUUAAAAUUGAAUUGAAUUGAUCAGCUCGAUCGAUUAAAUCA